rnacentral:rRNA from 1 species
AUGAUAUUUUAAUGGCUGCGGUAAUUUGACCGUACAAAGGUAGCAUAGUAAUUAGUCUUUUAAUUGAAGUCUGGUAUGAAUGAUUGGAUGAGAAAUUUUCUUUCUUUAUUUUUUUAUUAUAACUUAAUUUUUAAGUGAAAAAGCUUAAGUUUUUUUUUGGGACGAUAAGACCCUAUAGAUCUUUAUUAGUUUAUAAUUCAUGAGUUUUUGGGUUUUAUUUAUUUAUUUGUUUUUAAUUUAAUUUGGUUGGGGUGACAUUAAAAUUUUUUUUACUUUUAUUUUUUUUUUCAUUAUAUAAUUGUUUUUGUUGAUCCUUUUUUAUUGAUUUUAAGAUUAAGUUACCUUAGGGAUAACAGCGUAAUUUAUUUUUAGAGUUCUUAUCGAUAAAUAAGUUUGCGACCUCGAUGUUGGAUUAAGAUUAGAGGAGGGUGAAGA